CACGCUGAAAGUUCGGUCGUCAAAGGCGAACAGAGUCGGUCGGAGCUCUCUGAGAAAUUGUUUUUAUUUUCAAAGCGUCGACUAGAACUCGACAAAGACAUCGAGAAGGGCUGCUUAUAGAUUGCAAAGCUGUCUCAUGCUGGGGGGGAGGAUGUGAAGACGUGCACCAAUAAGACCAUGGACAGACUCUUCACAAAUGACGUAAUGGGAAAAUUCAAUAUGCAAGGUGGUGGGCCACAUGGAAAGAGGGCCUUCAAGAAGACUCCCUUCUACUCUGUUA